UUUUUUUUUUUUUUUUUUGAGGUGGGGAGAGAGGGAGUGAGAGAGAGAAUCUUAAGCAGGCUCCAAGCCCAGCAAGGAGCAGGAUAUGCGACUUGAUGUGACAACCCUGAGAUCAUGACCUAAGCCAAAAAUCAAGAAUCAGAAGCCUCACCGAACAAGCUGCCCAGGUGCCCUAUCUUUAUAUAAAACUCUAGAAAAUGUUUUCUUAAAAAAAAAAAAAAAAAAAAACUCUAGAAAAUGCAAACUAAUCUGUAGUAACAAAAAGUAGACCAAUGAUUGUCUAACAAUGGGGCCAUAUGCAAAGAACCUGAACUACAACUCUGCUCAAUGAAAUAUGGGGGCAGUAUAUAUAUGUUUACUAUCUUCACUGUGGUAAGGAUUCCUAAUAUAACCGCAUCAAAACUUACCAACAUGUAUAUUUAAAAUAUUUUCGGUUUAUUGUAUGUUAAUUACACCUCAAGAAAGUUGUAACUAAAAAAAAAAUAGACCAGUAAGGUUAGUUUAGGAGUCCAUUAAUAUCUUAUUCUUAUCUACUUUGGAAGCUUCUGGCACAACAAAAGGGCCCUCUGGUAAGAAAGGAGGUCUUCCUGUAUGUAGUUAGAACUGUGUUGGCCAUCUGACACCUUCCUCUCAGAAAGAGGAUGGCUUUGAGUCAUUAUAAUAAAACUAAAUAAUGUAUGAAAAUAUUUCUUUUCUGUUCUAUAAAGCAAACUAUAACUCGUCCAAAAGUGUACCAGGAACAUUAAGAAACAAAUUUUAAAAAAAAUUUUUAACCCCACUAUUGAGUAUUAACCAAGCUGACAGAGGAUACUCCUUGGCAAUAAUGACUCACAGGGUUUGUAAACAGAUUGGGUAUGAGUUAUUCAUAUGCGGAAUUUGGUAUUUAGCUUAUUUAUCUUCACAUAUAACUGAUCACUGUCCACUAAGUCAGUCUUAGGAAAGGUUAGCCACACCCCCAAACAAUUUCAUAUUAUUCUUGACUAUUUUUCCACAAGUUUGUAAGGAAUACAAUAGUGGUCUCCAAUGGAACAGCCAGAUCUGGUGUUUGCAUGCUCCUCAUGUGUAAUCAUGGUUGGGAAAGGUCCACUUUAUUGUUUUUAAGAAAGUGGCACAUAUUUUGGAUGGAAUGUUCACUCUUAGGAAACAAAGUUAUUUAUCUUCUAAAAUGAGUUAACUAUAUAGUGUCUAACCAGCUGAGGUUCAACUAAAAACUACCAUGCACUAUACAUUCAAAAUGCAUAACAAUUAAUGGAAAGGAGAAAUAAACAGUGCUGACAAUGAGGAAAUUUGUGAAGAAUAAACUUUCAGGAUUGGAAUAUAUAGGGAUUCCUCGAAGUGAGAGGAGACCAGUCUAUGGAGAGAGAAAUUACAAAUUUAAGUAAAGAAAUAAAGACUCAAAGAUGAGGUCCCAUGGCAACUAAGUGACAAGCCAGGAAGUGGACCCAGACAGCCUGCUCCAGAGCCAGACUGCCCAUUGUGCAUUCAUGCCAUCAGUGACACUGACACAUGGGCAAGAGGCUUUUAAAUGGGACAUUUCCUGAGGCUGGCAGUGUCUCAACAGCUGUCUGCAGUAUGCAAACAUUUUUGAAGCCUCUCAUAUAGAGAUUGUAGGACCUAGAAUAUGCUAUGCCUUAAAGACAAAUUAUUUUGAAUAUACGGCACAUUCUGUCCUUUAAUGAAGGUGUUGAAUUUAGCUGGAAGACAGAUGACAUAACUAUAAAAUGAAUCCUUGUUACAUAUUUUUCUGAAGAAGUCAUAUUCAUUGGGAAUUUGAACUAACAACUUCAGAUAGGUCUCAGUACCAAGUUCUGGCUUAGUGUUAAAUAUGAUGGAUAAAAGAUUAUCAAAAGACCAUACAAUGCAAUGUUUUAAUAGUACUGUGGGGGAAGGAGGAUCUCAGCAGCUCUGGAGGGAAGAUCAGUUGCCCAUAUAAACCAUACAGCCUUGGUUAAGUUAAUCGUUCCAAGUCCAUUCCAUCCUCUAUAAAAUGCAGAAUAACCACGUCUGCCCUAACAAGAUCUUGGGGUUAAAAUGGUCAAAUGAGAUAAUGUAAAAGAGAUGGUCUCGUCUCUCACUCUUGUAACAUUAUUUCUUUCAGGAAUGUCACUGUAUGAUUUCUUCACCAGUAAACUUCAAUACUAUAAAAGCUGAAGCUUCUAUUCAGCCAAAGCUUCUACAAAGCCAUCUGAAUAAUUGUUUGUUCUCCUUAACCAAAUCUAAUUUAACUGCUAACAUCUAAUUGGGCAUUACAAGUUUCAUAAAUUUCCACAUUAAAGAAAAAAUUUUGCUUUUCAUAUAUUAUAAAACAUUUGUGUUAUUAUGUUAAAUCAUUCUAUUUAAAAAGUCAAAUU
rnacentral:lncRNA from 1 species